UUCCUGCUUUCGUUUACCUGCAUACUGUGAGAGUCUGUUUAGGAAAUAGAUAUAGUGAUUUCGUCAUAAUAGUCUCUGUGGAUACGAUACUCUGCUUGCUAUUUCUGUGCUACAAUUACACUGUUUAGUUGCAGUUUUUGUUGCUAUAAAAAUAGUGAUCAGGCCACUGGAAAUACUUUCUACCAUGUAAGUUGUAGUAUUUAUUUUUCUCUUUAUCAAAGUUUGAUUCUUGGGUUAAAUCUAAUAUAUAUAGAGUGCAACUGUUUCCAGGGUUCGAGCUCAUCAAAGAAAGUGAUGUUGUUUCAAAAGUUCAAGAAACCAAGAAUUUCCAAGAACAAAGAAAGUGGGAAUACCUCGACUGCCCAGAAUAGUGUUGUCACUGGAG
rnacentral:lncRNA from 1 species